UUACGGUCAAAUCACGCUGAAACACCGGUUCUCGUUCGAUCACCGAAGUUAAGCAUCGUAGAGCCAGCUUAGAUGGGGGACCGCUUGGGAACACCUGGGACUGUAAG